CCUACGGGUGGCAGCAGUGGGGAAUAUUGGUCAAUGGGCGCAAGCCUGACCCAGCAACGCCGCGUGAAGGAAGAAGGCUUUCGGGUUGUAAACUUCUUGUGUCAGGGAAGAGUAGAAGACGGUACCUGACGAAUAAGCCACGGCUAACUACGUGCCAGCAGCCGCGGUAAUACGUAGGUGGCAAGCGUUUUCCGGAUUUACUGGGUGUAAAGGGCGUGUAGCCGGGUUGACAAGUCAGAUGUGAAAUCCUGCGGCUUAACCGAAGAACUGCAUUUGAAACUGUUGAUCUUGAGUACUGGAGGGGCAGACGGAAUUCCUAUUGUAGCGGUGAAAUGCGUAGAGAUUAGGAGGAACACCAGUGGCGAAGGCGGUCUGCUGGACAGCAACUGACGGUGAGGCGCGAAAGCGUGGGAGCAAACAGGAUUAGAUUCCCUUGUAGUC
rnacentral:rRNA from 1 species